CCUACGGGAGGCAGCAGUAGGGAAUAUUGCUCAAUGGGGGAAACCCUGAAGCAGCAACGCCGCGUGAAGGAUGAAGGUUUUCGGAUUGUAAACUCCUUUUGUUAGAGAAGAUAAUGACGGUAUCUAACGAAUAAGCACCGGCUAACUCCGUGCCAGCAGCCGCGGUAAUACGGAGGGUGCAAGCGUUACUCGGAAUCACUGGGCGUAAAGAGCGCGUAGGCGGGAUAGCAAGUCAGAUGUGAAAUCCUAGGGCUUAACCAUAGAACUGCAUUUGAAACUGUUAUUCUAGAGUAUGGGAGAGGUAGGUGGAAUUCUUGGUGUAGGGGUAAAAUCCGUAGAGAUCAAGAGGAAUACUCAUUGCGAAGGCGACCUGCUAGAACAUAACUGACGCUGAUGCGCGAAAGCGUGGGGAGCAAACAGGAUUAGAUACCCUUGUAGUC
rnacentral:rRNA from 1 species